UUACUACUCCCUCCGUCCGAAAAUACUUGUCGGAGGAAUGGAUGUAUUUAGACGCAAUUUAGUUGUAGAUAUAUCCAUUUUCAUCCAUUUUUCCGACAAGUAUUUCCGGACGGAGGGAGUAUAAU
rfam:Triticum aestivum genome assembly, contig: Triticum_aestivum_CS42_TGACv1_scaffold_321107_4BL